GUGGGGAAUAUUGGACAAUGGGCGAAAGCCUGAUCCAGCCAUGCCGCGUGUGUGAAGAAGGUCUUCGGAUUGUAAAGCACUUUAAGUUGGGAGGAAGGGCAGUAAGUUAAUACCUUGCUGUUUUGACGUUACCGACAGAAUAAGCACCGGCUAACUUCGUGCCAGCAGCCGCGGUAAUACGAAGGGUGCAAGCGUUAAUCGGAGUUACUGGGCGUAAAGCGCGCGUAGGUGGUUUUGUAAGUUGUAGGUGAAAUCCCCGGGCUCAACCUGGGAACUGCCUCCAAAACUGCAUGACUAGAGUACGGUAGAGGGUAGUGGAAUUUCCUGUGUAGCGGUGAAAUGCGUAGAUAUAGGAAGGAACACCAGUGGCGAAGGCGACUACCUGGACUGAUACUGACACUGAGGUGCGAAAGCGUGGGGAGCAAACAGGAUUAGAUACCCUAGUAGUCC
rnacentral:rRNA from 1 species